rnacentral:lncRNA from 1 species
GUGAUAACCAUUCUUUCAUUUCUGAUGUUGGUAAUUUGUAUAUUAUCUCUUUUUUUCUUAUUUAGCCUGGCUAGAGAGGAGGGAAAAACUCCUUAAAUGAAGAAACUGCAAACUGCAAGGUUCUUUUGCUCUCCGACACACGACAGACGACACAUUUCAGGAACAUAAUAGUUACAUGAUGAGGAAACUGAGGCUCCAAGAGGUGAUGUAACUGAAGUCUCCCGGCUCAUAGGAGGCAGCACUGGUAUUAGAGGUCACAUUAGAGUCAGCAUAGCAGCCACACAGCAACAGAAGGCCACAUCAGCCAUGGAUCAUUGAGGGCUCGGAUUGACUUUGUUUCCCGGGGUCCUGUACGUCUGGAUUUGGGAAGGUCAGAGCCGGAUUCGCCAUGGCCCACAGGGGAAGAGAGGAUCCUGAGCAGAGCAUCGGCUGCAGCGACGACCCUCGUUCCCACCCCUGUGUUGAGGCCGGAGCACCGGACAGACCUGAGCUGCUGCCGCUCUUCUCUCGGCUGCUGUGACCACGCACACAAAUAGAAUUCAUCCCCAUUAGCCCUUGCUGACCUCCCUCUUGUCUAACAAGCAAGUGUAAAGGCUUCUCUGGAUUAAACUUGGCCCUUUAAGCCUCAGCAUAAAAAGAGAAAGAUCAAUGCCUUCAGGGCACAAAGAGCCAAAGUGCUUUCUCUUUUGGGAAACCACUCACCAGGAGUGAGCAGACACUCCGUCUCCCUUAAUAUGGAGCCACUACCCUCUUGGGACUGUUGUCCAGAAGUUUCUGCCUUAGUUUCCACCUCUUGUGCUCUUCUUUGCGGGUGGAGGAGGGGCUUGUCUGAUGAGUGAAUUCAGUGGACAUUGUCAUUCUGUAAUGCACACAAUUAAAUGAUGUUUGAUUUUCAGCAGCAUUGGUCCAGUGGAGGGCCAUUGUGCAGGCAAAUGCUUGCUGAGUCUGGCGCCAGACAACCAGGUCCCCUUCCGAGCUCUGCCCCGCCCUAGCUGAGUCAUCUUAGUCAAGUGACUUCACCUCUCUGGGCAUCAGUUUCCUCAUCUGCAAAGGAGGGUGGAGGUGUUCAGAGCCAAAUGUGUUUUGCGAGCUGUGAAGUGGAAAGCAGACAGGAGGCGGCAUUGCUGGGAGAGUUCAGAAUUACGUCGGUGUUUUUAUUUUCUCCUGGCUCUGUGCCUACUUCACGGAUAAUCUCUUUUAAUGAUCACAUCAGUCCUGUACAUUAUCAUGACCUUUGUAUCUAUAAAGAUGCUCAGACUCCCGCUCAAUGAAGCCACACCUCAAAAUGGCUCACAUAAUAACGACCGACAUUCAUCAUUGCAUGAUGAGAAGCUGGGGUGGCUGCGGUUUCAGGUUUGGUUGAUUCUGCCGCCCAAGGGCCGCUCUAGGAUUUUAGGAGAAUUAAGAAAGGGACCCCGGCAAGGUAUCAGCUUGGAUCCAAGACAGGGGAAGCGAGAAGAGGGUACCACUCGUUAACGUCUAUCGAGCAUUCAUGUUGCAAGACCUCGGGCAAACCCUUCGGACUCUGUGAGCCUCAGUUUCCCCAUGUGCACAAUUGGCUAAUAACAGCUUUUACCUCCCAGGUUGUCACGGGACUCAAUGAGAUGAUCCCUCGGCAUGGUGUCUGGUAGUCAGUGAGCACUGAGUAAGUGUCAGCUCCUAUUAUUGCUGGUGCCGUUGACGUGGUUGACGUCUGAAGGCUGUUGGCGAUUCCACUUGUUCUGUGUUGUCCCUGGAUGUCUAGCUGGGACCUUCAAGAGGAGCCUCCAGGAGGCAGAGUUCAGCUCUGGAGAGGGGGCUUUCGGAUCAGGUCUUGCAGAUCGGACCCCCCUGGAGCUCCCUGCUGGAUGAUGACGAGGACGAAUGCCAGCGGGUCUGGACCACUGCUCUCUACACCGGCCAUGGAAAAGGAUUGUCUUUGUCCUCUCCAGAUCCUGGCUCUGCUCUCUGCCUCCCCAUCCCCCAAACGAGGCAGCAGGUAGUGGAUGGUUGACAUGCCUGUUUCCUUCUCUGACAAGGUCAGUUGCCCUGUGAAUGUCUCCAUCCAUCUUACCUGGAGUCAAGCAGCUUCUCUGCCAAGUGUCCAGAACAGAGCCUGAAGGAGACAGGCUGUGUCCCUGACUCCUGCUGGAUCCCCAGGGAAUCCCGGGCCUUCCCCUUUGGAGGGAGAACACGCUGGCAGGGCUGCAGGCUUCUCAGGUGCUCUCAUCCAUCCUGAGCACAACUGGCUAGGAGGGCCUCCCUGGAGAGUGUGCAGAGCCUGAGGCCGGCUGCUUCCUUUGGGUGCAAGGGAGCACAAGGACAGGACGCCAACCCAGGUGCACCUUCAGAGCCAGGCCGUGUGCCAUCAAGAAGGCCCUGCCCCACGCUCCCCGCUUGUUCAACCAGCACAAAGGCAAAUGGCCAAGGGAAGAUUACUAAGCAUCUCUCAUGGGUCCCCUUCUCUCUCCCCUCUGCCCGACCCACAUCAGGCCCUGCUGGCCCUGCCUGGACACUGCCCAGUCCUCCUGGCCCCCAGACCUACCCUCACAUGGUUGUCAGGUGCUCUUUCUCAGGCACAGCCCUGACCUUGUCAGCCCCCUCCCUGCUUAGGAACAUGCCAGGGCUUUUCCUCUCCUACUCAAGGAAGCCACUCAGCUUUGCAGGGGAGGCUGACCUUGAUGAGGCCCAGUCACCGUCCUGCAGGAGGCUGUGUGGUGCAGUGGUAAGACCCCAACUUUGAAGCUGGACUACCUUGGUGAAAAUCUUGGCUUGGCCGUGACUCUGAAUGAGUUGCUUAACCUCUCAGAGCCUCAGUUGCUCCGUCUAUAAACUGGAGAUAAUAGUCAUAUGUAUCUCGUGCAAUUGUCACGCGGAUAAACGAG